rnacentral:lncRNA from 1 species
UGAUAGCCUUGCCUUGAGUCUUGAUAAUAAUGCUGCAUCUGCUAAUGUCUAACAUAUAACUAUUUUUAAAAAAUGUCUUCUUGUUUUUGACACUAAAAUAAUUAGAACCUGUUGGUAUCUUUAAAGAAUGGAUCUUGGGCCUAAUUCAACCUCAAAAGCUAGCUCAUGAGGGGAGGAUUGCCCAAGUCCAUAUAAGGAAACCAAGUACCCAUCCUUCUUCCGAUGUGGGACUCUUAAACCUCCCCCGCACGCCCAGAGCGUGAACAAUAUAAUAUGGGGGCCCAACAAUGGUGAACAAAGAAUUUGGAUGAGUCUGGCUCCUAUACCAUGUAAAGAAUGGAUCUUGGACCCAACUCAACCUCAAAAGCUAGCUCAUGAGGGGAGGGUUGCUCAAGUCCAUAUAAAGAGACCAAGUACCCAUCCUUCUUCUGAUGUGGGACUCUUAACAGUGUCCAUGGAGAAGAUACCUUUCCUUUUCUGUUUUAUUAGUGAGAUCUUAUGUGGAUAUUGAUUGAACUUUGAAGGUUCUUUUGCUAUUUCCAUUAUAAUAUCUAACUUUAACAUGUCAAUUAUGGUAAUAUGCAAAUUCCUAUCUGAGAGUGGAUGAUUAAUUUGCAUAUAUCUAUCUAAAGAUGCAGAGAUAGCCACUUGGAAUGGGAUGAAAUUAAGUAUUCAUUGGAAAUUUACAAUUAAUUUAUACUCCAUAUGUUGUGAAACAAUGGAUUGGUUGGAUGUUUACUCUUAUUCAUUUUCUUGUUACCAUUUCUAGUCUUCUUUUCAGUGCUAUCCUUGUUCUUCUUCUAUUGGGCUUGGUUGGGAUUAAGUGUGAAUACAUAAGAAUAUUAGGAUGUUUACCUAUCUAUUUUCACUAUUAAUACAUGAAUUCAGCUGAAUGGAUGUCUUGAAAUACGUUAAUCCAAAGUGGAGGAAUCAGCCAUAGCUGUACUGAAAUAAUGGAGUUUAAUGAUGACUACCAAUGUUAUGUCUAGCAAGUUCAUUAUAGUGAGGGGAGGAUUGCCCAAGUCCAUAUAAGGAAACCAAGUACCCAUCCUUCUUCCGAUGUGGGACUCUUAAACCUCCCCCGCACGCCCAGAGCGUGAACAAUAUAAUAUGGGGGCCCAACAAUGGUGAACAAAGAAUUUGGAUGAGUCUGGCUCCUAUACCAUGUAAAGAAUGGAUCUUGGACCCAACUCAACCUCAAAAGCUAGCUCAUGAGGGGAGGGUUGCUCAAGUCCAUAUAAAGAGACCAAGUACCCAUCCUUCUUCUGAUGUGGGACUCUUAACAGUGUCCAUGGAGAAGAUACCUUUCCUUUUCUGUUUUAUUAGUGAGAUCUUAUGUGGAUAUUGAUUGAACUUUGAAGGUUCUUUUGCUAUUUCCAUUAUAAUAUCUAACUUUAACAUGUCAAUUAUGGUAAUAUGCAAAUUCCUAUCUGAGAGUGGAUGAUUAAUUUGCAUAUAUCUAUCUAAAGAUGCAGAGAUAGCCACUUGGAAUGGGAUGAAAUUAAGUAUUCAUUGGAAAUUUACAAUUAAUUUAUACUCCAUAUGUUGUGAAACAAUGGAUUGGUUGGAUGUUUACUCUUAUUCAUUUUCUUGUUACCAUUUCUAGUCUUCUUUUCAGUGCUAUCCUUGUUCUUCUUCUAUUGGGCUUGGUUGGGAUUAAGUGUGAAUACAUAAGAAUAUUAGGAUGUUUACCUAUCUAUUUUCACUAUUAAUACAUGAAUUCAGCUGAAUGGAUGUCUUGAAAUACGUUAAUCCAAAGUGGAG